rnacentral:lncRNA from 1 species
AGUACAUGUAUUAGGGGUAGUCGAUAUUUGAUUUUUACUCUAGAUAUAUAUAUGGUAGAGUAAAAAGGUUCAUGAUGAACUUGGUAUGUAUGAUUCAUGAGAUUUGGUGUAUGGGAUUUGAAUAUGCUUUAGUUUAUGAGGUUUAGGUAUAGUUCAUAUGAGAUUUGAAUAUGGUUGGUGUAUGACACAUAGGAUUUAAUGUAUGGUUCAUGGGAUUUGGUUAUGAACUUGGGUAUGGUUCAUGGGAUAUGAUGUAUGGUUCAUGAGGUUUGGUUUAUGGUUCAUGAGGUUUGGUUUAUGGUUCAUGAGGUUUGGUAUAUUGUUCGUGAGGUUUGGUUUAUGGUGUAUGAACUUGGGUAUAAUUCAUAGAUUUGGUUCAUGGUUCGUGAGAUUUGUGUAAGGACGGAGAUUUGACAGAGUAGCUAAACUCUUUGUUGACGAUGUUUUUGUGUGUAAUUUAAUUACAUAAUCACUCGUCAAGUUUCAGGAGAAAACGAGUAAGAAUGGAGAAGUUAUACGACCUUUACUAAUCACUUAAAGUGAAUAGUAACUCCGAUUUUCCGAAGAGGCCAAUCAGUGGAGAUGGCUUCUGGUGCGUAUUGGACUCCGUUCAUAGUGAUCCAAUAGCUCAUUUUCGAUGGUUCGACUAUCCUGGACCUCAUGGCACUGAUGGAUUUGGGUUUUGAUGCACAGUUUACGAGAAAAGGGGAGUUUAUUGGAUUUACACAUAUUUAGGUGUGGUUUUUGGAAAAUUGGAGAGUGUAUGGGUUUCGUCGUGAAUCUGUGACCAAAACAGGUGAAACAAAAUCGUAGUUUCGAUGCCCCGGUCGUGUUGAACGCAAUGAUGUAACCCGUUCGAAAAUUCGAAGGACGGAUCGCUAGAUAUCAUCGUUUAUCGAGAAAGGGUCAAAUUGAUCAUUUUCGUAUUUCGUGCGAAACCCCUUAUAUUUUAUGCGUGGAAUUUCAUGAAACUUGGUGGGUCAUGGCGCGAGGCUGUCAUGCAUUCAUGGUCAGGGUCUCGGCUAAAAAUGUUGUGGUUUGAGGGAGUUACGCGCGAUUUACUCAUUGCUAUAAAAGAGAGUUUCUAGGGUUUCAUCAUGGAAACCCUAACCCUAGCCUCCAACACCCUCAGCUGAGCCCUAGCUGUCGAUCCCCUCCUGCUCAGGUCCCUGCGUGCUGCCGUCGCCGCCGACCAGCCCCGCCCGGCCGGAGUGGAUGCGGAGCUCUCCAUCUCCAUCUCCCUCUCUUCCUGUCAGGUUGGAGAAAAAGCACAGGGCAACAUUGCCUCCUUUGCUUGCCAUCGGCGUCGCCCCGACCGCAGCCAAGGCUUACUCGGCCGUCGCGCCCCCGAUGUGCGCCGCUGCAGCCCCCGGCCGGGCUGGACGAACUCAGGCCGAGGGAGCUUCUCCCUCCCCUCGCGCCUCCGCCGCAAGAGACCGCUCCUACCGCCUCCCCUAAAGCCUAGGCAACCUCCGCCGCCGGCCGUAGCCGCCCCGAGCGCCGCCACGCCAUUGCUACCAACCCGCGGCGAGCCCAUAAUGGGUAUGGCCGUGUCACGCCCUGGGGUCUCUUUUUUAUUAUAAAAAAAAUUAUUAUUUUUUUUAUAAACCUGACCCCCAGGAUAUGCGAGAUCCGCCACAAAUAUAGGAAGUCCACUGUUCACAUGGACAGAGUCUCCCCUGUAUUUGCAUGGCGUUGCACUAUUACAAUAUACACAAUACAGGUUACAACCACCAUCUAUGAACAUACACAUAUUCAUCCACCAUUCACAUUCACAUUCACAUUCAAAAUUUAUCUAUAAAUCUACAACUAUUAGUUUAAAAUGUUUCCUAUCUAGAAACUCGUUUUAAAACACUAAGUCAUGAUAACCAAGAAAAUGCCUUUUUAAAAACCGUUUCCCACACAGAAAUCUUUUCCUUUUAAAACUCGCUACCACGAGGGAUAGAAAACUAUUUUCAGUUUACAAGAAUCACAAAUCCUUUAUUACAUUCAUAAAAUCCGAAUAAUUCAAUUCAUAUAAAAUACUGAACCAUAAAUGCUGUCUAAGUCAUUUAUUAAAAGAAACUGAGUUAAGAGUUAAACCAAAUGACGGGACGGUGUCUCUAAUGAUUGCUAAGUACGCUCCUCAUGAUCCGUCCCACUACGACCCGCGACGUCACCUGUAAUGAGGGUGGGGGGUUAGAACAUGUACACAUGUUUCCCCUCCCAGUGGGUACUGCAAGCCAACGAGGGCAAUGGGCACCAGUCAAGAAGAAUAAACAACAGUAUGGGUAAGUGUAAACAGUAACAACGAUAAUAUAGAAACGAAAUGUAUAAAUGAAUAACUACUGCUACUGUAUGCAUGCAUCAACCGGACGACAAGUCCAAAAAUACCAAAUCUGAAACUGCCAUAUUGGUCCGCACACCUCAGGCCUAUGCCACAACUGCUCUAAUCUGUAACUGACCCCAGCAUAAGCUCUUGGGUCUAAAAGCAUAUAACCCUAGCAUAAGCUCUUGGGCACAUAGGCUAGCACACCCAACCACUUUUCCGGAAAAGAACACCCUCUUGCAGUGGAUUAGACUACUGGUGUUCGUGAAAUGCAUACGAGCAGUGGCGAUCGAUACUAAUAUGCUCAAUAGCAGACCAUCAGCAACUAGCCGACAAUCUUACCCCUCUGGGUAUACCGACCGUAUCACACCCCGGAUUAAUCGUUUCCUCGGGCUCGCUAACAGACCGGCCGUAUACAUAGGUAUUUUCCCUGUAUAUGAAGCGAAAAGUAAAAGUAUUUGUAAUUAUACAAUACUACAAAAUGUAGUAUAGAGCAGUUAGAAAAAAUAAACCAUAUAUAAGUUGUGGUCCAAUACAUACAUAUCAUCCAAGGUAUACAAAUACUCGCUCUCGCGAGAAACAACAACUGUAUGUAAAGACCUAAAAACUACAACUACCUGUAGCUAGUGCUCCUCUAGCUCUGCAACUCGACUGGAAGGGCUCUAACUCGUGACGCCCUUGCCACGAUCAAGAUCAGCAACAGCAGCGGCCGAAGACGACGGCUCUGCAAAACAGUGGUAACAACUGGGCAUGAGAACUACUGUAAAAACAAGUAGUCUUCAGUGGGUACCGCCCUCGAACUCAUCGGUUCACCCACUAAGCUACAGAUCUAAGCUCAGUGAUAGAAAAGGAAGCUGGAACAAAUCUACAGCUAUAUGUUACUAUCCUAUUAUGAUCCAACACUAUUAUCUGUAGAGUAAUGCAACCUCAGACCCAAAUCCAUAGGGACUGUGAAUACACCUGUCCCAGGGACUGUGAAUGCACCCGUCCCGCCUGUCGAAUCCUAAAUGCUAUCUCCACACUAAUCAGUCCGUGGAGAGCAAGUCCAAACCAGGACACUACACAACACAAAUGCACAAAGCCCACUCCGGAGUGGCACUCGUGGGCGCUACCCAACCGAGUAUGCAAGCGUAUCUCUACUAAGCUCAAUCAGGCUCUCACAGGCUAUAAUCAAGUAAACAGGGUCCAACUGGUCUAACAACCAAAACUCACGUGCCCUCGGCACAUACUGAUGCAAAACCCGCAAUCUGGUUCCACCAUCAACCCCGACAGCACCCGACAGUCUGAAACAGCCUAAAUACUGCUAUAAAAAUAAGCUCGGCAUCUCCGCAAGAGCGUAACUGCAUUCUACACUAUUCCGGGUAUCCACAGCCAACAAACUGUGGUGAUACAGAUCUACUACAGCUCCUAAGCUUUCAGCGUAUCAAAUGCACACAACAGUGUGGAUACUAUCCGCGACAACUCCCGAAGCUAUCUGAGUAUCAAAUGCGCACUAACAAUGGGGAUAUGAAGCACAACAGCUUAAGAAGCGAACAGAAAGGACAAUGUAGAACCUAUAGUUAAAUAUUAUCCAAGCUCGGCAUCCCGCCCGAGUGUAAAUGCAUUCUAAACUACCCUAAGUAUCCACUGCGCUGAAACUGCGGUGAUACAAACCAACCCCGGCUCCUAGAGCUAAAUCAGGUACUUUAAGCAUAUGACGAGUCAAAUCGCUGGUUCUCUCCUAAGUCAAAUUCCAAGUCCAACAUGUAUAAUUUAUCUGAUUACUACAGCAUACUCCAAAUUCAGAUUUCAUUUAAUAUGUUAAUCAAUAAACUCGAGCUAAAUAUGAUAUAUCAAAUCCAAAACUAUACAUGUCUACUAUGCAUAUGCUCAGGAGGCAAAACCGAUGAUAAACCCACCUCAAUUGCUCUUUCCUGGCAGCAAGGAGGUCUCGGAGAUGCUGAAAACUCAGCCGAACUCCCUCUCAACCAGCAAGGGUCUUCAAUCCAGCCCUGAACCUCCGAAUCCACUAAAAUUCCAUCAAGAUGCCACAAUCAACACAAAUUUCAGCACUUAAGCUAAAUUACCCCAACUCCAAUGUCAAAACUCACCUAAUCACAUCCAAAUCUGGUAAGGAGGGUCUAAAAUCCAGUGGAGUAGGAUGGAGUAUGUGUCUCAGGUCCAAAAACACCCUGCCUCCAAAGAUAGCACCAAGAAAAACCCAAAAAUCAGAUUUUCAGCUCAAAGUCAGCAAUAGUUCAGAAAAAUAUGGAAUCGACCAAGAUAAACUCAACCAAAAUUUGAAAUUCUGGGCUUCGUGGAUUUCUCUAGAAGUCUAGAAUCCAGCAAACCAAGUUUCACCGCAAUCCGACCUUCCUACGUCGCACACGAGCCAAAACACCGAAGGUCGUUGCUGGAAAACUAUAGAAUCAGCACUCCACCACUCUCCAAUUGAAAGGUCGGAUGCAAAUUGAGGAAAUCUGAGGGUUGGAAAAGCAAUUUGAGGCUUCUCUGUGAAGAACAGGUGAAAAGAGUCCACUGUGGUCGAACACCACCUAUUUAUAGGGUGUUAAAAUGGUAGAAUAAGCCCCAAGAAUAGUUGCUGCAAAGCUGGUACCCCUGGAGAAAUCCCCACUUUCGGGCGCCCAAAACCUAUUUCUGGGCGUCCGAAUCCUCCUGGCUGCACUACAGUUGCGCUUCGGUUCCAUCGCCGCGGUGUGCUGCGCCCAUAACCGGCUCCGGCGGACCUCACAAACCACCAGCCACGUGUCAGUGCAAACGAUACUCACGAGGUGAACUUUUCGGACCCACAUUCGGGCGCCCGAAACAUGGACCCGAAUUGGCUUCUAGUUCUGCUCAGUUCUGUACUCAACUUCUAGGCGACCCAAAGCCAGUUCUGGGCGCCCGAAUCUAGCAAAACUCUAGUUUUAUUUAGUUGAGUGCGCCGAGUCCAUUUCUGAAUCCAUUUCACGCAGAAAUGACUCCGACUUAGUCCGACACUCUCAACAUGUGUCGACUAGUCACCAACACUGAAGCCAAUCCUAUCCAAAGCUCAGAAGCACUACAGACCGUAUAGGUCAUCAAUAGUCCAACCGAUCAUGUAGGUCACGAUAACAAUGCAGUAAGCUGACCGAAUAGGUCACAGAUACGAGAUACGAGAACCGACCAGCUAGGUCGUAAUAGCAGAUGCCACGCACUAAUCGACUAGGUCAUAUAUCUCACCAAUAAUCAUGAAACCGCUCUACUUGUAAACAUAAUAUAGGAUAUGCAAAAGAGCUAAGUAGAGCAAUAAAGAAACAUAGUAUAGGUGCUAGGCUCAAUAUAUAAUAUGCCAGAUAAACAACAAGAAAGAAGAACCACUGUACCAACUUCGGGUCGAAGUACCCACCUGUACGUGAACGACACUGGUCUCCGGACUGUGGAGAAGAAUCAACCGGACCUACGAAGGGUCCACCGGGUUAGCAUCCAACCCACAACAUGAACCACUAACUCACAAUCCCCACCAAUAAACUUACGGGAAUCGGUUUCCCAAAACCGAUUGCCGUAACUCACCGGAAGUAUUGAAAAUCGCAUUGGGACUCCGCCGGGACCCACGAACUAUCUCGAAACUCACCGACUUGAGCUACGAGUCACCCGCUGCCACAAAACUCAACUAUUCAUGUGACUUGGCAGCGAACACAUCUCCUCACAUCGAAACAAUUAUCGUCGAAAAAUCGUUCCGAUCCGGGUUCUCGAAAGUGUAAAUUCGACACCGGAACCCCCCGUCGCUCACCCAUCGUUUCUGAACCCUCGAAACAACACGAGUGACCAACCAAUAAGGCUCAGCGACUAAACAAUUUAAUACGAGACACCGUCGGAAAAAUUUCGAACCGAAAUCACGUUCCAUCGGCGGAUUUCGCCGGAAAAUGCACUGGAAAUCAACCUUUGAUUUUCGAAAAGGCCCAGGGCCUUGGACAACCAGUCCGAGGUCACCCGCUGCCCGCACACGCUGCCAACAGUUGCCACGCUAUGUACAAUUGGAUAAAAACCCCCGCGACUACAUAAAAUCACAUCAUUUUAUGUGAUUUUUGGGGUUUUACGUCCCGACAGCGCAACUUGAGGGUAUUUUAGCUAGGCCAAGACACCCGACAGGUCUCGAUGUGCCGGAGGCCGUGCUCACACUUCGGAGCACUGCUGGCCACUGUGGUGCGCGCGCGAGCGAUGCAAACUUCAGCGAAACAGCGCGCACAGUGUCUAAACUGCAUUUAAUACGCAUACUGGUACUUCGUUGACCCAAAUGGAGGUGAGCACGAUGUUCGGCACGGAUCAGAGAUCAUCGUGCUCACUUCCUGGGGUGUCGGGGUGUCUCUGAAUCACCGGUAAAGCGACCGGAACCCAAAAUAGUGCACAGACUGUUAAUAAAAGGCUUACCGGAGCAAGGUAGGGCACGGGGCGGCCGGACGGCCGGCGCUCCGGCAGGGAGAGGUCGCGGCCAGUCAAAGAGGGCCCAGGCACCCACUGGCCGGUGGCGGGAGGCGGCUGGUGGCGCAGCAGAGAGCCACAAGCAUGCACAGCUCGGCUCGGCUCAAGGAGGCAGCGGCGACCAGGCGGCGGCUGGAGGAGCUUCGGGGCGACGGCGGCCGGUCGCUAGAGGCUCAGGGAAGGCAGUGCGGCCGGCGGUGGGCGGCGGCGGCGCACAGAGGCCAAGUUGGCCUCGGCUCAACCCGCACUGGUUCUGGGCGGUCGCAGUAAGUUAGGACGGCUGCCGGCGGCCACGAGGACGACGGCGAUGGCGCGCUGGAGGUCGCCGGCGGCCAAUAGAAGGCGGCACGGCUCGAUCCAGCCGAAGGAAGCUCACGGGCCUCGAGCUAGGCCGAGCUUGGCCAAACUGGGACCGGGUUGGCCGCAGCAAGCACCGUCGGCGCCGGCGGCGCACGGGGGCGGCGAGGGUCAGUGAGGAUGACGCCGGAGAUUGGUCUCGGCCAGAGGAAUGCGAUCACCCAGGGUUUGGAUGACUUCUUGAGACCAAUCGCCGAUGUGGUGGAGACAAGAUGGAUGGAGGAGUUGAGAGGNUCACCCAGGGUUUGGAUGACUUCUUGAGACCAAUCGCCGAUGUGGUGGAGACAAGAUGGAUGGAGGAGUUGAGAGGGAGGUCGAGGUGGCUUUUACGGCAGCCGGGAGUGCUCGCCGGUGGCCAAGGCGUGCGCACGAGUAGGGUAGAAGGGUGCUGCAACGGCUAGGGUUAGCUGGGUGGACAAGGGUGUAUUAAAUCUAGGGUUUCGUGCAUUGAAACCCUAGAUGCACUUUAUAUACUAAGUGCACUUUUGCAGAAAAGCCCCCCAAGGCUGAUUAUUUUCAAUCCAGUCCCUGCUAGCGCGUGCAUCUUGCGCGUAAGCACCCCAACGUUCGAAAUCGCGCAAAACGGUACAUAAAAUAUUAGGCUUUUCGCAAUUUUUCCUUUUUGCCAAUUUUGACCCCUCUGCAAACAAUUCGCGAUUCCUGGAGAUCCGUCCGUUGGAUUUUCGAUCGGAUCACACCAGCGCGUUGAGCACGACUGGAGCAUCAAAUCUACCAUUUCAUUUCGUCCGAUUUGGUUGCCGAUUUGCGACAAAACCAACCCUCUCUAUGAUCCACAACAUAUCCACAUAUAUAUAUACACAUAUAUAUACAAUUUGUAUUUAAAUUUCAAAUUCCAAAUUCGGAUUUCCUUUAUUAUAAAAUCUCGGGUAUUACAUCAUUCCCCCCUUACAAGAAGUUUCGUCCUCAAAACUUAAAUCAAGCAUCUCCUGCAAACAACUGCGGAUAUCGCUCCCGAAUGGAUGACUAGCUCCUAUGUAGCCUCGCGCUCCUCGUGAUUUUCUCACCGAACUUCAACAUACAGAAUGCUCCUGUUCCGCAACUGCUUCACCUCAUGUGCCAAAAUCUGCAAUGGAGCCUUAUAAUAGCUCAAAUCCUCUCGCAGCUGCAUAGACGUCGGGCUGAUGACGUGAGACGGAUCCGAGAUAUACUUCCGAAGCAUGGGCACAUGAAAAAUAUUGUGCACUCGGGGGAGACUUGGAGGAAGAGCCAAUCUGUACGCCACCAGACCAACGCGCUCCAGGAUGUCAAACGGUCCCACGAAUUGCGGACUAAGCUUGUUCCGCAAACUGAGCUGCUUGAUCCCCCUGGAUGGCGACACCUUGAGCAACACAUGCUCACUGACUUGAAACUCCAGGUCACACCUCCGCUAAUCCGCAUAGCUCCUUUGUCGACUCUGUGCAGUCGAAAGCCGCUCUCUCGCAAUGCGGGUCUUUGCCUCUGCAUCCUCCACUAAGUUUGGCCCGAUCAACCAGCGUUCUCCAACAUCGUCCCAACAGAUAGGAGACUGACAUCAAUGCCCAUACGAAGCCUCGUACGGUGCCAUCCCGAUGCUCGCCUGAUAGCUAUUAUUAUAGGCGAACUCCACCAGCAGUAGAUACCGAAACCAUCCAUCACCAUAAUCCAGGACGCAUGCGCGAUGCAUGUCCUCAAGAGUCUGAAUGACUCGCUCUGACUGACCGUCGCUCUGGGGAUGGAACGCCAUACUGAAGUUCAGCUUCGUACCCAUAGACUACUGUAAUCUCCUCCAAAACUGGGAUACGAAGCAAGUGUCCCGAUCUGAUACGAUCCACACCGGCACACUAUGAAGCCGGACGAUCUCGCCAAUGUACAACUAUGCCAGUCGAUCACGGGACUACAUAGUGUGCAUCGGCAGGAAGUGAGCCGAUUUCGUUAGCCGAUCUACUAUAACCCAGAUCGCAUCAUGGCCCUGCUGUGAUCGAGGCAAUCCGAUGACGAAAUCCAUAGUAAUCUGCUCCCACUUCCACACAAGUAUCGAAAGUGGUUGCAGCUUUCCUGUCGGCCGCUGAUGCUCGGCCUUCACCUAUUGACAAACCAAGCACCGAGCCACGUGUUGUGCUACGUCAAGCUUCAUCUCAUGCCAUCAGGAAUUCUGUUUCAAGUCGCGAUACAUCUUGGUUCUGCCUGGGUGAACAGUGUAAGGGAUCGGUGUGCCUCAGAUAGGAUGUCAUUUCUCAGCUCCGAGUCACUAGGCACGCAACACCUGCCUCUGAAGCGCAGAGAUCCAUCAGUGUGGAUAGAGAAGUCGCCAUCCUUGCCCUGCUUGAUCUCCGCCCGCACUUUCUGUAAGUACGGGUAACUCUGCUGUCCGAGCAAAAUCCGCUCAGUCAAGGUAGGCUGUACCACUAGGGUCAUAAAUUGGGUCGUGGCCCCGGUGGAAACAACCUCUAUCUCGAGACGGCGGAACUCCUCCACAAGACGAUCCUGACUCGUGAUCAUGAAGGACAAUCCAGCUGAAAACUGUUUCCGGCUCAAGGCUUCCGCCACCGCGUUCGCUUUUCCCGGAUGAUACUGAAUCGUGAGAUCGUAGUCCUUCAAGAGUUUGUCACGCCCUGGGGUCCCUUUUAGUUUGAAACAAAGCGGAAAAGCGUCUAGAUUUUUUUUUUUUUUAAGCCUAACCCCAGGGUAUGCCAGAUCCGCCGCAAAUACAGAAAAUUCACUGUUCACACGGACAGAGUCUCCCCUGUAUUUGCACGGCGUCGCACAAGUACAAAAUUACAAACAGAGUAUAACCAGGAUACAACCACAAUACAUAAAUAUACAAUACUCAACAUUCAUUCACCAUUCACCAGAUAUUUACCAGAUAUUUACCAUUCAGUGUUUAAACAUAGAAGCCACGAGAAAACUCUUUUGAAAGCUGUUUCCCACACGGAAACCUUUUCUUUUUAAAACACGCUACCACGAGGGGUAGAAAACUAUUUUUUCUUUUCACAAAAUCCACGAGUUCUAUAGUUUAUUCAAAAUCACAUAAAUUCGAAUAAUAUAAACCAACUAAACCAUGAAAUAUUAAAGCUAUUAAUAACAAAAGUAAAUAGGGUAGGAACUAAACCAACAAACUGAGUCGGAAGCUCUAGAUACCACUACGAACGUGCCUCGCGUCUCGUCCCACUACUCAUCGCCCGCGAUACCUGAAAAAUGGUGGGGGAGGUGAGAACAUGUAAACAUGUCUCCCCUCCCAGUGGGUACCGCAAGCCGAUGAAGGCGAGGAGUACUCACCAGAUCAGGAAAAGAUAAACAACAAUAUGGGUAAGUAAAAUACUAAAUACAGUAACAACAAUAAUGAACGAAAGAGAUAGAACUAUAAAUGAAAGCACAACUACUGCUACUGUAAUGAACAACUGAAAGUAUACAUGCAGCUAAACUAUAGUAGCAAGACAAGUGUAAAGAAAGAACUGAAAGUAUACAAACAACAACUACUACUAUAGCUAUAUGCGUCAAUCGAUCAAAAAGUCCAAAUAUACCCAAUCUGAAAUCUGCUGCUCUAUUGGUCUGCACCGCAAACCUCAAGCCUAUGCCACUACUACUCUCCAAUGUAUAUAAGCCCUCUAGGGCUCACGGGUUGACACCUGUAACCACUUUUCCGAAAGAGAACACUCCUUGCGGUGGAUCAGACCGCUAGUGUUCGUGAAAUGCGACGAGUAUCGGGCGGUCAAUGCUGAUAUGCUCAAAGGCCAAACGUCGGCAACCAGCCGACAAUCCUGCCCACAGGGCUCAUCGACCGUAUAGGUCAUCAACUGUAAGGAAGCACAAGAACUAACCACUCAGGUCAACUAGGAUGGGACAACAUCAACAUCCUCUCAAACAUAUGCAAAUACUGCUCAAUGAACCACAAGGACUGACCACUCAGGUCAACUAGGAUAUAUACAUAACGAAUCGACGAAUAGGUCAUCAGAGUGUAUCAAUAGAAUCCAGAACUACCGUCGGCCACUAGCCAACAAUCCAACCCCUCUAGGGUACAUCGACCACAGCGGUCAUCGAACGACAGAAGUCAAGGAACCGAUCGCAUGUGUCACAAAUACGGGAUACAAGAACAGACCAACCAGGUCACUAAUACGAAGUACGAGAACCAACCAACCAGGUCACUGAAACGAAGUACAAGAAUCGACCUACCAAGUCACUGAUAUGAAGUACAAGAAUCGACCAACAAGGUCCACAGAUACGCACAUAGAUAGAACCACUCUACCCCUAGUCAGGAUACUAAGCAUGUAAACAACGAGUAGAGUAUAAUAAAAUAACAUGGGUGCAAGGCUCAAUAUAUACUAUGCAAUAAUAACAACAGAAGAGUAAGGGUAAGAAACCAUCACCGAGCGUGCACCACUGUACCGACGUCGGAUCGAAGUACCCACCUGUACGAAUGUCGCGCCUGUCUCCUAACUGCGAAAGAACAUCAACCGGACCUACGGAGGGUCCAGCAGGUUAGUAUCUAACCCACGAAUAUAAAACACUAAAUGUACAACCCCACAAACAAUCCCACUAAGAUCGGUUUCAUAAAACCGACUACCGUAACUCGCCGAAGUCCCGAAAUUGCACUGGGACUCUGUCGGGACCCACGAACUGUCCCGAAUUGCACCGACUCAUGCCACGAGUCACUCGCUGCUACUAAAUACAAAUUUACGUGUGACUUGGCAGCAAAGACCUUAACUCACUCCGAAACGAUUAUCGUCGGAUAAUCGUUCCGAUCUGGGUUCCCGGAAGUAUUGAUUUCGACACCGGAACCCACCGUCGCGCACCCGUCAUUUCUGAACCCUCGAAAUGACGUGAGUGACAAGCCAACAAGGCUCAGUGACUCAACAAAUGCAAAUGAGGCACCGUUGGAAGAAUUUCGAACUAAAACCGCGUUCCGUCGACAGAUUUUGCCGACAAACGCACCAGAAAUGCAUUUCCAAUCUUCGCAAUGGUCUGGGGCCUUAGACAUUCAGUCCAGAGGUCACCCACAGCUCACCCAUGCUGCCAACAGCAGCCACGACAAAUCAAAUUGCAUAAAAGCCCUCCCGAUUCCAAGAAAUCACAUUAUUUCAUGUGUUUUUCGGGCUUUUAUGGUCCGUCUACGCAAACUAGAGGUCAAUCAGCCGAGCCAAGAUACCCACUUACAGGUUUCGACGUGCAGGAGGCCGUGCUCACCUUUCGGAGCACUGCCAACCCUUGUGGCAAGCGCACACACGACGCGAACCUCAGCGAAAUAGCGCGCACAGCGCUUACAUUGCGUCAAACUCGCAAACUAGGGCAUCGUUGACCCCAACGGAGGUGAGCACGAUGUUCAGCACGAAGUAAGAAUCAUCGUGCUCACUUCCUGGAUUAUCGGAGUGUCCUCGGACCACCAGAAAGGUGACCGGAAGCUCCCAACAGUAUGCUGGAGACCUUCGCUAGACUUACCAGAGCAAGGUAGGGCACGGGCGGCCGGCGGCGGCUGGACGUCGGGCGUGCCGACAGGGGAAGGUUUCUGGCGACGGAGGAAGGCCGGGGCGCGCGUUGGCCGGCGACAGAAGACGGCGUCGGCGACGGGCGAUGAUGCCCUAGCCACCUAACCCGAGGAGAGGACGACCCAGAUCCGGCCAACAGGGAGCUCCGGCGACAGGGAGGCCGGCGGCGAACGAGUGCGGCCGGCCAGGCGGAGCCUAUGCUCACGCCGACCGGCGGCGGUGCUGGGUGUGGCUCGGCCUGCAUAGACCUUGCGCGGCCGCAGGGAGAGGGAGCGACGGCGGCCACUGCGGCUACCGGAGGAGGGUCGAGGCGACGUCGUCACGUCGCCGGAGGCCGAGGAAGGGCGGCGCACCUUGCUGCGGGCGGUGGCGAUGCACAGUGGUCGAGAUGACCAGAUCUCGGCCCGCACAAGCCCUGGGCGGCCGCAGAGAGUCGGAGCGGCGGCCGGCGGCGUGCGGAGACGACAGGGCGGCGAGCGGGUGGUCACCGGAGGUACCAGGAGGGCAGCGCGACCAGCGAGGAGCAGCUGCGGCGCGCAGAGGCGGGAAUCACCCGGGCUCGGCCUGGGUGACUGCGGGUUGGCCGCAAGGAGCAAGGUGGCUCCGGCGGCGCACGGGGAAUUCCGGCGGCCGGAGGUACUCGCCGGCAGCCGGAGCAUGCGCACGGGGAGGGCAGGAUUGCAGGUGGGGCGGCUAGGGUUAGAUGAGUGGACAUGGGCAGCAAAAGGACCUUGGAAACCCUAGUUGCCACCUAUAUACUAGAUGCCAUUUUGCAAGAAACCCCCUCAAAGCCACAUAUUUUCAGUUAGGUCCCCUACCAGCACGUGCAUUAUGUGCAUAAGUCCCUCUACGUUCAAAUUCGUGCAAAACGGUGCAUAAAAUAUUGGGACUAUUGCGAAGUUCCCGAUUUGCCAUAAUCUACCCCUUUUCGGACAUCAUGCGAUAUCCGGCAAUCCGUUCAUCGGAUUUCCGAACGGAUUGCACCAUCGCGUUCAGCACAACGAAGGCAUCGAAACCACCAUUUCGUUUCUUCCGAUUUCGUCGCCGAUCCAUCCUCUCUCUAAUUAUUCCACACCAAACACAUGUACAAUUAUGUAAUCCCACUAAACCUUAAAUUCGCACUUGUAUUUGACUUCCCUACCACUAGUAGGGAUCCGAAACAUCCUUUAGCCUACUCUCGGUCACAAGCACGGAGCACGAGGAGCUUUAGAAUGCACGAAUAACAAAGAGCAAAAACCCCUUUUCGAUAAAAUCCCUUUUUCUCAAAAAUCGUGCGUCAGAUCUGAAAUCCGUCAGUGCCAUUGGUUCCAGAAUAGCUGAACCGAUCAAAACGAGCUAUUGGAUCGCUAUGAACGGAGUCCGAUACGCGCCGAAAGCCAACUCUACUCCGUGGCUUCACCGAAAAAAUCGGGUUACUAUUCACUUUAAGUGAAAACUAAUAAUCGCGUAUCUUCUCCAUUUUAGCUCAUUUUCUCCUGAAACUUGACGAGUGCUUAUGUAAUUAAAUUACACAUAGGAACAUCGUCAACAGAGAGUCUAAUUGCAUUGUCAAAAUCUCAGUCCUUACAGAGUUUGAGCCAACGCCUCUGCCUGAGGUUCAACUCCUUCUGUGUGAAGAGAUACUUUAGGCUGUGGUGAUCAAUGAACACCUCGCAGUGUGCCCUAUAUAGAUAAUGCCUCCAUAGCUUAAGGGCAAACACUACCGCCGCGAGCUCCAGAUCAUGAGUCGGGUAGUUCUUUUCAUACUCUUUUAGCUAUCGUGAGGCGUAAGCAUUGACCCGAUCCUGCUACAUAAGAACACACCCCAAACCGACCCGUGAGGCGUCGCAAUAGACCACGAAAUCCUCACCAGGGCACGGCAGAGUUAGAACGGGUGCGCGGGUCAGUCUAUCCUUCAGCUCAUUGAAGCUCUGCUGACACUGCGCAGUCCACUGAAAUCUUUCUCCUUUUCUAGUAAGUUUGUUCAGCGGUGCGACAAAUCGUCGAUAAUAACCCGCCAAACCCAGAAAACUCCUGACUUCAGUCACCGAAGUUGGUUCAGGCCAGUCGACUACUGAGGCGAUUUUCUUCGGAUCCACCAUAAUGCCUGAUGGAGUCACAAUAUGUCCCAAGAAAGAUACCUCGCGAAGCCAGGACUCGCACUUCUUGAGCUUAGCAUAUAACUUGUGCUCUCGAAGUAUCUGCAGUACUUGUCGGAGGUGAUCCUCAUGCUCCUCAUCACUCUGCGAGUAGAUCAGGAUGUCGUUAAUGAAGACCACGACAAACUGAUCGAAGUAUGCCCGAAAGACCCUAUUCAUCAUAUCCAUGAAGGCUGUCAGGACAUUGGUAAGCCCGAAUGGCAUCACCGUGAACUCGUAGUGGCCAUAACGUGUUCGCAAGGCUGCCUUCGGCACAUCUACAGCCCGGAUCUUAAGCUGAUAAUACCCAGAUUGAAGGUUGAUCUUAGAAUAUACCGACGAUCUCUGAAGCUGAUCGAAAAGAUCGUCAAUCCGGGGCAGUGGAUACUUGUUCUUCACCGUGACCUUAUUGAGCUCCCAGUAGUCGUUGCACAAUCGAAGACUACCGUCCUUCUUUUUGACGAAUAGGACUGGGACACCCCAGGGAGACACACUAGGUCGACUGAACCCUUUAUCCAGGAAACCCUCGAGCUGAGCCUUUAGCUCCUUCAGCUCAGCGAAGGCCAUGCGAUAGGGGGCCUUCGAGAUCGGUGCCGCGCCAGGAACUAGCUCGAUGAAGAACUCGAUCUCCCGGUCCGGAGGCAUCCCCAGAAUCUCUGUAGGGAAGACAUCCGGGAACUCGCGGACUACAGGAAUCUCCUUCAAUGGUGGUGCAGCUCGGCGGGUGACAUCCACGGAAGCCAGAUAGGCCGCACAUCCAGCAUUCAUGAGUCUUUUAGCUUUAGUAGAAGAGAUAGUAGCGGCAAAAUAGGAGCUCUUACAUCCUCGGUAUACAAACACUUCUUCACCGGGUUCAUUAAAUGUUACCGUCCUCCGCUCACAGUCGAUAGUAGUGUGGUGCCUGGCGAGCCAGUCCAUGCCAAGCACCACGUCGAGGUUCUUCAUCGGAAGUACCAAUAGAUUCGCCAGGAAAGACCGAUCAUCCAGAAUGACAGGGUAUAAUGGAAUGCACUGUUCAGCUUCUAGGUCACCUGCGGCCGUCUGAAUUCGGAUCGGUACAUCAAGUGGACUCGAGGGAAGACCAGGUUCUCAUGCAAUGAAUGCGAGACAAAUGAAUGGGAAGCUCUAGUGUCAAAAAUAGCUCUAGCACGAGAAAUGCAAAGGGUGACGAUACCUGCAAGGACGUCGCCACCAAUGCCGCUCUCGGGCUGAGUCAAGGUGAAGACUCGCCCACCAGAUGCCUGGCGCACCCCCUCGUUUUGGCGUGAGAAAGAGGGACGCCCAGACGAAGCAGCUGCACUUGAGGUUGCUUGGUUCUAUCGUGUAGCGACAGGGGAGGAAGCAGCACUCUGAGAAGCCCCAUCUUUCCUAGGGCACUGGGCUCGAAGAUGGCCCGGCUGGCCACAGUGAAAGCAGUAGUCCCUACGUUGCGGACAGGCAGUCACCUUAUGUGCUUGCCCGCAAAUAACACAGGAUCGAUCACCCUGUCGCUGACUGCUAGAAGGUGCAGUCCUAGCCGACUGUUGAGUGCGCGGAUGCUUCGGUGGCUUAUUGCUAAAAGAAGAGCCACCGCCAGAUUUGGCGUGGGAACGCUUCCUGUCCCCAGAUCUCUUAGAUGCAUCCCGAUCAGCUCGGACCUCCUCCAACUCGCUCUGCACGAUCAGAGCCCGAUCCAAACACUCGUCGAAGGAUAUCGCGCCGUGGGACGUGAUCAGUAGUCGAAUGUUGGGCCUCAACCCCCUUACGAACAGUCUGGCCUUAUAAUACUCAUCGCGUACCACGAAGGGGAUCAGCUCGACGAUGCCGGUGAAGUCGCGCUCGUACUCCGCAACUAUGCGGUUACCCUGCUUGAGGCGCUCCAGCUCACGCUCCAAGCUCUGCUUCGUGCUGUCCUUGAAGUAUUGCUCAUAGAGGAGUUUUCCAAACUCCUCCCAAGGCGGAUAGAUACUCGCAAGCUUCCUCUCGAAGUAGCGGAUCCACUACUGGUACGCCUCUCCCUCAAGGAAAUGAGUAGCUAGAGGGACACGAUCCUUCUCCUCGAUGUGGAGGUCCAGGAAUAGUUUCUCCAUGUGGGUGACCCAAUGCUCGACCACCCAGCUGUCAUUGCUCUUCCUGGCGAAUUUCGGCGGAUCGAAUUUUCGAAACUCCUCCAACUUCGCCCGAACGCGAGUGCCCUCCGCUCCAGCGGAAAUCGUCGUGGUGGCCGUGGCCGUCGUCGUCGUCGUGACAGUCUAAGCUGCAGCCGGUGCAGGCAUCACCGGAGGGUCCGCAGUCACCGGAGCAGUCUGCAUCGGAGGUGGAUCCGGGGGAGCAGCAGCUGCAGUCUGCUGCUGAAGAAACUGCUGGAACAUCCCAGAGAGGGCCAUCAGCUGAACCCUCAUCGCUGCUACCUCGGCCUCGAGCUGCUGGGUACGCGCAUCACCCAGCGGCUCAGGGCGACCUGCUCCCCACCACCUCUGCCCAUAGGGGUACGCUCUCCCGGUCCCCUAGAUGCUCCUGCACUGGCGCGUCCACUACCAUCACCCGGACGAGAAGGUGUACUACGAGCCAUCUGUAGCAGAAAACACCGUCAAGCGAAUAAUCGACUCGACAACUACACACCGAGACUCAAGCCCAAACCCCGCACUCACAUGCCUAUACACCAUAGGUUUUUCUAUGAGUCAACCUAACCAAUGGUUCAGUUUAUUUAUUUUUCAAAACAAUCUGUGAAUGGUGCCGUGGUUGUAGCUCGUCUCUGAUACCAUUUUAAUCUGUCACGCCUCGGGGUCUCUUUUUUAUUAUAAAUCACUACGGAAGUGCCCCAAAAAAAAAUUUUUUUUUUUGAAAAAUUUGACCCCCAGGGUAUGCCAGAUCUACCACAAAUACAGAGAAUCCACUGUUCACACAGACAAAGUCUCCCCGGUAUUUGCACGGUGUCGCACUAGUACAAUAUACACAAUACAUGAUAUAACCACCAUCUAUGAACAUACACAUAUUUAUCCACCAUUCACAUUCACAUUCACAUUCACAUUCAAAAUUUAUUCAUAAAUCCACAACUAUUAGUUUAAAAUGUUUCCUACCCAGAAACUCGUUUUAAAACAUUAAGUCAUGAAAAUCAAGAAAAAGCCUUUUUAAAAAUCAUUUUCCACACGGAAACCUUUUCCUUUUAAAACUUGCUACCACGAGGGGUAAAAAAUUAUUUUCAGUUUACAAGAAUCACAAAUCCUUUAUUAUAUUCAUAAAAUCCCAAUAAUUCAAUUCAUGUAAAAUACUAAACCAUAAAUGCUGUCUAUGUCAUUUAUUAAAAGCAACUGAGUUAAGAGUUAAACCAAAUGACAGGACGGUGGCUCUAAUGAUCGCUAAGUACGCUCAUUACGAUCCGUCCUAUUAGGACCCGCGACGCACCUGUAAUGGGGGUGGGGGGUGAGUGUUAGUUAUAUGCCCUAUAAGCCAAUCUUGUCAUAACUUAAAGGGUUAAUAUCAGUAUACUUUUCUUUUAUGAUUAAAUCUGGCAUUCUUCAUUCAUAUUAUUGCCGAAUGCAUAUUUAUGAAUCGUCCAUAGAAUUAAUAGUAGAAGAAUUAAAUUUCUAAGAAGUUAGAAAUUUGAGACUUUUAUUCUUCUGUAAUUAAUUCUUAAAUGCUCCUGAUCAUAGGAUUAUUACGAGGGCGGUGGUAAAUCCGGAUAGAUCAGUGUAUGCUGUACUUCUUUUAUGGGAUGACGAGUCUCAAGUCAUUAGUGUGGUGACACUAGAGUAAGCAUACAGGUGAAUGUUGGAGAACAAUUUCACUGAGCGUGACCAACUAUAAACAAUCACAUGAAUGUCUACUCACUCGUCAGUGAAUUGUUCCGUACUGUAGUAGUGUGAGUGAUCCUUUGACCUGAGGCACCACGGUUAUCUUGCGUGUGGGUUAUUGUAGUUUGACUGUGUAAAUACUUNACGGUUAUCUUGCGUGUGGGUUAUUGUAGUUUGACUGUGUAAAUACUUAUACCCUAAUCAUGGGUUAAGUCAACACAUGUUGGCUGCAGUGGGUCAUACGUGGAGGUAGGUGUGUGUCAAGAUGGAAUCUAUCACCCUCGGUAGAGAGGUAAUUGUCCUAUGCUAUCUGUUUUACAAGUCCUUGGCCAAGGCAGUGUGAUUUUAUGGAAAAGAGUUUCUAUAUUAGUUGUUAAUCAGAUAAGACAUAUGAUUGAGUAAUGGGGUUUGACGAGUUAUCCAUAACCUCGACUCAAUCGGGACAAGUGAUAGAAGGAUUUUAUCACACGGUAAUUCUACUUGGAUUGCCGCGAUAUACGGCUAGGUGUCACUCGUGGAUUGUGGGACCCAUGAGAGUAAUUAAGAUAGUUAAUUACACUCAGUUGGGAGAGCCAAAAAUGUUUUGGUCCAUCGAGAAGAGUUCCGAUGGUGACAUUAAAAGAGUUUACUGUCACAUCUCACUACCAGGUAGAAUUGAACCUAUGUGGUCACACACAAUAAAGGCUGCGUGUGAUCUAGUGCUUGGAGAAUUAAUAGAGACUAUUUUGCUAAAGUAGCAAAGCCAGAAUUUACUUGCUAAAUUGAUUAGCAAGAAGGACCAAUUUGUAAAAUUUUAGAGUUAAUGCAAUUGUUGCAUACGGUGCACUUGCGCUGAAGUUACUAAAAGGAGUUUACGAUCUUUCUCUCAUCAACUCCUCAAUUAAUAAAGAUUAAUUGAGGAAGUUACAAAGUGAAAUUAAACGAGGAAGGGAGAAGACCAAUCGAACUCAUACGUUCACUUACCCUAUUAAUGAUAUAGUUAAUAAAGUGAAAAAUGAAAACCUCCUCUUCUCUCUUUCUCCACUCGUUUCUCUUCACUCCACCUAUUAAAUGAGAGAAAUUGACUUCCUAUCAUUUAUGGUGGUAGUUUCUUCUCUCCUCUUUGCGAACAAUGAGAGGAGUUUGAUUCCCACUCAUUCAUGGCAUUUAAGCCUAUAAAAGGAGAUGUAAUCCUCCUCAAUGAAAAGUGUGAUUUGUAAAAAAAAAUAUGAGAGAAAGAUAGAUAGUUUUAAUCAUAUAUAGAAUUCUCUUUUAAUCAUAAGAGAGAGGUCCUUUUAUAUUAAUUUGUCUCUAUUGUUAUUCCUCUUCAAAUUGCUAGCACAAUUUUGAAGAUUAAUUUUUCUCUACAUUAACACAAGAGAUCACGAAAGGAGUUUCGAGAUUACACUGUGAUUGUGUGAAGCACAGAUCCCGGAGCAGCCUUGUGUGGAUACACAUAGAGGCCGAACACUUGUGCGGCUAAAAGGACCAGAAGUUCAGAUCCACAUCAACCGUGAAAUAAUUUCGGUAAUUUGCACAGGUUGAAAUUCGAACCCUUCUUCUAAUUAGAUUAGAAUAAUAAUUUUGUGUGUCACACGAGAUGAUCUUGAUACAUAUAUAUACUAAUAUCAUAAAUGUUAUGAUAUUAAAGUAUACAUGAUUGGAUCAUAUUUUAUAAAUAAAAUUUAAUUCCGCUGCAUUAAAUGCACAUGCAUAUGCGCACAUUUACUUACAGAGAGAACAUGUACACAUGUCUCCCCUCCCAGUGGAUACCGCAAGCCGACGAGGGCGAGGGGUACUCACCAGUCAAAGAGAAUAAACAACAGUAUGGGUAAGUGUAAACAGUAGCAACGAUAAUACAGAAACGAGAUGUAUAAAUUAAUAACUACUGCUACUGUAUGUAUGCAUCAACCGAACGACAAGUCCAAAAAUAUCCAAUCUGAAACUGCCAUAUUGGUCCGCACACCUCAGUCCUGUGUCACAACUGCUCUAAUCUGUAACUGACCCCAGCAUAAGCUCUUGGGUUUAAAAACAUAUAACCCCAGUAUAAGCUCUUGGGCUCACCGGCUGGCACACCCAACCACUUUUCCGAAAAAAAACACUCUCUUGCGGUGGAUCAGACCGCUGGUGUUCGUGAAAAGCGUACGAGCAGUGGCGAUCGAUGCUUAUAUGCUCAAUAGCCAACCAUCGGCAACUAGCCGACAAUCCUACCCCUUAGGGUAUACCUACCGCAUAGGUCAUCAAUAGGGGUAGUCGAUAUUUGAUUUUUACUCUAGAUACAUAUAUGCUAGAGUAAAAAGGUUCAUGAUAAACUUGGUAUGUAUGGUUCAUAAGAUUUGGGUAUUGGUUCAUGAGAUUUGGUGUAUAGGAUUUGAAUAUGCUUUAGUUUAUGAGGUUUAGGUAUAGUUCAUAUGAAAUUUGAAUAUAGUUUGGUGUAUGACUCAUAAGAUUUGAUGUAUGGUUCAUGGGAUUUGGUUAUGAACUUGGGUAUGGUUCAUGGGAUAUGAUGUAUGGUUCAUGAGAUUUGGUUUAUUGUUCAUGAGGUUUGAUUUAUGGUUCAUAAGGCUUGGUAUAUUGUACGUGAGGUUUGGUUUAUGGUAUAUGAACUUGGGUAUAAUUCAUAGGUGUGGUUCACGGUUCAUGAGAUUUGUGUAAGGACGGAGAUUUGACAGAGUAGCUAAACUCUUUGUUAAUGAUGUUUUUGUGUGUAAUUUAAUUACAUAACCACUCGACAAGUUUUAGGAGAAAACAAGUUAGAAUGGAGAAGUUAUGCGACCUUUACUAAUCACUUAAAGUGAAUAGUA